rnacentral:rRNA from 1 species
UACAGAGGUCCCAAGCGUUUGUUCGGAUUCACUGGGCGUAAAGGGUGCGUAGGUGGCUUGGUAAGUUUGAUGUGAAAUCUCCGGGCUUAACCCGGAAAUGGCAUUGAAUACUAUUGAGCUGGAGGUUUGGAGGGGGGACUGGAAUUCUCGGUGUAGCAGUGAAAUGCGUAGAUAUCGAGAGGAACACCAGUGGCGAAGGCGAGUCCCUGGACAACACCUGACACUGAGGCACGAAAGCUAGGGGAGCAAACAGG